rnacentral:rRNA from 1 species
UACGUAGGGUGCAAGCGUUAAUCGGAAUUACUGGGCGUAAAGCGUGCGCAGGCGGUUUUGUAAGUCUGUCGUGAAAUCCCCGGGCUCAACCUGGGAAUUGCGAUGGAGACUGCAAGGCUAGAGUUUGGCAGAGGGGGGUAGAAUUCCACGUGUAGCAGUGAAAUGCGUAGAUAUGCGGAGGAACACCGAUGGCGAAGGCAAUCCCCUGGACCUGUACUGACGCUCAUGCACGAAAGCGUGGGGAGCAAACAGG